CUUAGUUCUAAAGUAUCUCCUUAUGCCAAGUAUUAUUCAUUUUUCCCAGAAAUAUUACCUGUAAAAAAUUAUCAGUCUGAGCUGAUACAGUAAUUUAGAAUAAUAGGCCAUUACGAUCCCGGAGAUAUUGAUUUAUUUGUAUUAUUACUAUUUGACUUUUCACUGACACCUGGUGAACUUGGAGUCUCAGAGAUCCAGGGAGUUAUUUUAGUCAGGGUGUCCUUGCCCUCCUGCUGGUAGAUUAAUUGCAUAUUAAACAUCGUGUUUUCAAAACAAAAUGAUAAAUCUGGACACAUAAAGGAGCCACAGAAAGAAUCACUACGAAGGAGAGCAGAGGACGUUAAGAAAGAAGACAAGAGAUUGCAAAAGAGAUACAGAAAGAAGAAAAUCCCGACUCUGAAUGGAUUGGAUUGCGAGUUUGCACGUGAGAAGACCGUUUGGCUUGACUUGGACCCCUGCCUUCCCCCACGCCCUCCACACACCCAGUCCAGGGGUCCCCUUAUCACCC
rnacentral:lncRNA from 1 species